rnacentral:rRNA from 1 species
UCUAAGUGGAGUAUUAUAUAGCGAAACUGCGAACGGCUCAUUACAACAGAUAUAAUUUACUAGUUCUUGUUUCUAUAUGGAUAACUGCGGUAAUUCUGGAGCCAAUACAUGCAUCAAGCCCUGGCCGCUCGGUUAGGGUGCAAUUAUUGGAGCAAAACCAGUCUCAUACUGUUUGCUAACUCAGGAUAAUUCUGCAUAUCGCAUGGUCUUGUACCGGCGAAGUUUCUUUCAAGUAUCUGCUUUAUCAACUAUCGUUGGUAGUUUAUUGGUCUACCAUGGUGUUGACGGGUAACGGAGAAUCAGGGUUUGACUCCGGAGAGGGAGCCUUAGAAACGGCUACCAUGUCUAAGGAUAGCAGCAGGCGCGAAAAUUACCCAAUAUCAAAACGAUGAGGUAGUGACGAGAAAUAACAAGAUCGUUCUCUUUGAGAUCGAUUAUUGGAAUGAGUACAAUCCAGAAAUUUUAACGAGUACCUACGAGAGGGCAAGUCUGGUGCCAGCAGCCGCGGUAAUUCCAGCUCUCGUAAUGUAUAGAAUUAUUGUUGCGAUUAAAAAGUUCGUAGUUGGAUUGCAACGCAGGUAUGGGUCCACCCUCUGGGUGCGUACUCAAUGCUUGCAUUUUGCAUGUUUUUGUGGCGUCGCUUCGGUGGCGUUCAUGAUGCAUGCAGGAUUACUUUGAACGGCUCAAGUGCUUAAAGCAAGUCUUAUGACUGAAUACCGGUGCAUGGAAUAAUGGAACAAGGUUGUGGCUGAGUUUUAUUGGUUUUGUCGGCUAAAACAAUGGUUAACAGGAACAGCCGGGGGCAUUCGUAUCGCUGCGCGAGAGGUGAAAUUCGUGGACCGUAGCGAGACGUCCUACAG